GCAGAGCCAUGGCCCUCUUCUUUGUUCUCUGCUGGAUCCAAGAGUCGGGGUCUCCCUAUGUUUCCCAGGCUGGCCUCGAACUCCUGACCUCAAGUGAUCCUCCCACCUCAGCCUCCCAGAGUGCUGGGAUUAAAGACGUGAGCCACGGCACCUGGCCUGAAUUUUCCUCAAAUUCAAAAAAUGCUGAUGAAGGUUUGGCUAAAAUCUUUGGUGAGUUACCCCACUCCCUGUGGAACCUCAGGCUGGAUUUGAAGAGUUGCGUGCAUGGUCCUCAUUGUCUCCCAGAUGAAAUUGUGCUCCAAGUGUUUUCCAAGGUUCCGUAUGACCCAUCAUUUGAUGAAACAAGAACAGCAGUCAGAUCCAUUACAAAGAGAGACACACAAAAAAACUAUGUGAAAAUGAGCUUAGCCCCUGGUGUUGUGUUGGAACUUCAGAUGCUUGCAGACACUUCAUGAAUGCUCUGUGACACUCAGAAUAGGCUCUUCCCAACAAAAGAGCUUGAACAAUGCUGCAUUUGCCUCAGGUUCAAAUGAGCGAGAGGAACAUUUGGCUAAAAUAUUUGAUGAAAUUCUACUGCAGGUGUUUCCAAAGUUUCCGUAUGACCCAUCAUUUAACGAAGCAACAGCAGUCAGAUCCAUUACAAAGACAGACAUGAGAAAAG
rnacentral:sRNA from 1 species